rnacentral:rRNA from 1 species
UAUUACAAUGAAGAGUUUGAUCCUGGCUCAGGAUGAACGCUAGCUACAGGCUUAACACAUGCAAGUCGAGGGGCAGCAUGAAAGUUUGCUUGCAAACUUUUGAUGGCGACCGGCGCACGGGUGAGUAACACGUAUCCAACCUGCCUCAUACUCGGGGAUAGCCUUUCGAAAGAAAGAUUAAUACCCGAUGUUAUAGUCCUACCGCAUGAUGGGAUUAUUAAAGAAUUUCGGUAUGGGAUGGGGAUGCG